rnacentral:rRNA from 1 species
UACGGAGGAGGCAAGCGUUAUCCGGAAUUAUUGGGCGUAAAGCGUCCGCAGGUGGCUAUUCAAGUCUGCGGUCAAAGACUGGGGCUUAACCCUGGAAAGGCCGUGGAAACUGAAGAGCUAGAGUGCAGUAGGGGUAGAGGGAAUUCCCGGUGUAGCGGUGAAAUGCGUAGAGCUCGGGAAGAACAUCGGUGGCGAAGGCGGCCUGCUGGGCAGUGGCUGACACUGAGGCGCGACAGCGUGGGGAGCAAACAGG